GGCUGGUUGUCGACCCGACAACCUUCAACCUCAGAGGCAUGUCACAUGAUCUGACUUCCAAUUCUACUUCUAGAUUCAGAUUAUGGAUGAAAGUGAAUGUGACCCUACAGGAUGAUCUUCCAGGAUAACACAUAACACAUCGUGGGAUCAGUUAAAAGAUGUUUUUAAGGUCCUUCGUCCGUCGGAAUGUCUUCGGCCAUCUUGAAUUUAGUUUUCUCACCCAGUGUCAGUGCCUGGUAGCCCCGCCCCUCUUUUUCCGAGCCCAACAUUCCAUGCUUAAUUUUUUCUCCUGAAGAAGUGAACUAUCCAGGUUCUUGAAAUGCUCUUCUUCUUCUUCUUCUCCUUCUUCUUCUUCUUCUUCUCCUCCUCCUCCUCCUCCACCUCCUUCUGUUUGUAAUAUUCACCCUGAACAUGUGACUCUCACUAUUUAUCACACACAAUGCUGUAGAUAGCGUUCGAACUAAACGAAGCCAACACACACAACAUACAACACCUUCACACAGUCACAAGUCCAGAGAGAGCAAGGUGACUUUCCCGGCACUUUGCUCGGCACGCAUGCAGGCGCGUGUAAUCUUUUUACCCUCUUGCCCCGGAGCCCAAGGUGACUGCACAAGCCCGGAGUUGUCACACGCUAUCGGGAUCAAAGCGAGUUUGACUGGAACGCCCCAGGGGUGAAGGGAAAGCGCCGGCUUGUUUCGGAGCGGAUCGGUGAAGGAGAAGAUGGAGGCCGCAGAUGGGACGCGUCGCCCGAUGUUGAUGAAAGUGAUGAAGUUUGGCAUCCUCGUCUGUGAUGAGAGCUCCCUCUCCACUCCGCAGCUUCGGGAAGAGGAAUAAGGAGCCUGGAAUAAAGACAGAAACACAGUCAGAGACACCGGUAUAGGAAAUGAAUCGGUAUCUUCUGACCAAUCGGGAUCCAGAAUUCAAGAGCACUGUGGUGGACAUGGAAGUGAGGUCACAAAUAUAUCCGAGGCUCCAAAUGUGUCUGUGGGGUGUAUCAGAGCGCAAAAGGUGACAGGAGGACAGUAAGGUGGAUUGU